rnacentral:antisense_RNA from 1 species
GUCAUUUGUAACCUGAUGCGUCCACCCUACUGCUGUGUCCGGUUUCCAUUGGCUGGAACGGGACCUCACAUUCUGUAUUUGUCCUGAUUGGGAAGCAACUUAAAACUUUUUAAAAGAGGCGAAGGCAGAAGAGAACAAAGGAAGGAGAAAGUAACUUGUGGAAUGGUGAGAAAGGCAUGAGGCGAAUUCUCAGCCGUGACAAGGCUGAAGGCCAGCAGGAACAGGCUCUAGCAAAAUGGGUGCUGUGUCCCCUUCCUGCAUGUGGCAGAAAGUUGCAAAGUUUCAUGGAUUUGAAUGUGAACAUCUGUUCCCUGGAUGCACUGCCAACAACGUGGUCCAACUGGUACUCAUCGUUGGAACUACCAAGUCAACUAAUUUUUUUUUUUUUUUGAGACAGAGUCCCACUCUGUCGCCCAGGCUGGACUGCAGUGGCGCGAUCACAGCUCACUGCAGCCUUGACUUCCCCAGGGUCAGGCGAUUCUGUCACCUCAGGCUCCCUAGUAGGUGAAGACUACAGGCAGACACCACCACAUCUGAGUAAUUACUUUUUGUAGAGAUGGGGUUUCGCCAUAUUGCCCAGGCUGGUCUUGAACUCCCUAAGGUCAAGUAAUCCACCUGCUUCAGCCUCCCAAAGAGCUGGGAUUACAGGCGUGAGCCACUGCAUCCAGCCAGUCAACUUUUAAUAAGGUCCUUGUUAGGUAUAGUGAGGGACAUGAGAUGAAAAAGAGCUGGACUGUCUUCUUGGAGCUUACAGGUUAGUUAGAGAAGAUAUUAAAAGACAGACGAGAUGGG